GAAAAUUUCCCAUUUGACAAAUAAAAGAGAGUCAGGAAAAAAUUAGAGUCACGAGAAAUCAGCAGAAUCAAAUAACAUAAACAGUAGGAAAAAGCAACUGAAAUGAGUCCAUUGGACCCAUUGGUAGAUAGAAGGUUAAAAGAUCUUAAUGAUUUUUGGUUAGGACAG